UACGGGGGGGGCAAGCGUUGUUCGGAAUUACUGGGCGUAAAGGGCUCGUAGGCGGCCAACUAGGUCAGACGUGAAAUCCCUCGGCUUAACCGGGGAACUGCGUCUGAUACUGGAUGGCUUGAGAUUGGGAGAGGGAUGCGGAAUUCCAGGUGUAGCGGUGAAAUGCGUAGAUAUCUGGAGGAACACCGGUGGCGAAGGCGGCAUCCUGGACCAACACUGACGCUGAGGAGCGAAAGCCAGGGGAGCAAACGGG
rnacentral:rRNA from 1 species